rnacentral:miRNA from 1 species
UCUUCAUUCUCCACACUCUCUCG